rnacentral:rRNA from 1 species
UACUUAGGGAGCAAGCGUUGUCCGGAAUCAUUGGGCGUAAAGCGCGCGUAGGCGGCCCCGUAAGUCCGCUGUGAAAGUCAAAGGCUCAACCUUUGAAAGCCGGUGGAUACUGUGGGGCUAGAGUCCGGAAGAGGCGAGUGGAAUUCCUGGUGUAGCGGUGGAAUGCGCAGAUAUCAGGAGGAACACCAAUAGCGAAGGCAGCUCGCUGGGACGGUACUGACGCUAAGGCGCGAAAGCGUGGGGAGCGAACAGG